rnacentral:rRNA from 1 species
UACGGAGGGUGCAAGCGUUAUCCGGAUUCACUGGGUUUAAAGGGUGCGUAGGCGGGCAGGUAAGUCCGUGGUGAAAUCUCCGAGCUUAACUCGGAAACUGCCAUGGAUACUAUUUGUCUUGAAUGUUGUGGAGGUGAGCGGAAUAUGUCAUGUAGCGGUGAAAUGCUUAGAUAUGACAUAGAACACCAAUUGCGAAGGCAGCUUACUACACAACGAUUGACGCUGAGGCACGAAAGCGUGGGGAUCAAACAGG